GUGGGGAAUAUUGGACAAUGGGCGAAAGCCUGAUCCAGCCAUGCCGCGUGUGUGAAGAAGGUCUUCGGAUUGUAAAGCACUUUAAGUUGGGAGGAAGGGCAGUAAGUUAAUACCUUGCUGUUUUGACGUUACCGACAGAAUAAGCACCGGCUAACUUCGUGCCAGCAGCCGCGGUAAUACGAAGGGUGCAAGCGUUAAUCGGAAUUACUGGGCGUAAGGCGCGCGUAGGUGGUUUUUUAAGUUGGAGGUGAAAUCCCCGGGCUCAACCUGGGAACUGCCUCCAAAACUGCAUGACUAGAGUACGGUAGAGGGUAGUGGAAUUUCCUGUGUAGCGGUGAAAUGCGUAGAUAUAGGAAGGAACACCAGUGGCGAAGGCGACUACCUGGACUGAUACUGACACUGAGGUGCGAAAGCGUGGGGAGCAAACAGGAUUAGAUACCCUUGUAGUCC
rnacentral:rRNA from 1 species